UGCACUUUCUAAUUAAACUGUUUAAUUGCAACAUACUUAAAUUAUUUAAGAUUUAGUGCAGUACUGUAAAAAUGUAAGUAUAUUCUACUACUUCUGCAGACAAAGUCGAAUGAGCGGAAAACUUUAAGUGUAAUGGGUUCAAUAAAAAAAGUUUUCGACUGACCACGCCCUACCCCACCCUACCGCCUCGCUGGUUAGCAGUUGCGAGGGUUUGGACGAUGCCAUUGUCUUGUGGUUGCAGCAAAGUUGAGUUGUUGGUGAGUAAUAAACAUUUUUGUCUAUUUUUCACAGAGAGGCUAAGUGUUUAAAAACUUAUAUAUUAAGUAACGUAUGUUUCGUUUUUAUACUCGCUUGAACACCUGAAAUAACGGGCGACUUCGCCAGGAAGGCAUAGUCAUGACAACGGCUGUUCGUCUGUAUUUUCCUCUUUCCUAUUAUCAAAGUGGUGAUUUUGAGCAAUACAAAUUAUUUUGAACAAUUUAGGGUAUUUCGCUUAUCAUCUUGCAAGACGUUACCGCCUAACGUUAACUCUCGUGCGGUGGACACGGUCACACUUGUUUAUCUGUGUGGCGUUUCCGUGGCCUUUUUUCCAUCUGUUUAUUGUUCCCUGUUAUUGACCAGGAGCUGUUUUCCGAGCACUGAAAACACACGUCAGACAGGGUGUGGUAUUUUCACCUGCAACUAUUUACGCACUUUGGCGAGUAACGUUACAUGGUCUUCUUUAACCCCUGCGAGUUCGACACGGAUACGGCGCAAGUCUUUCUCGUCUGUGUAUUUUCUAGCUGUUUCAUCGAGAGGUUGUUUGCGAGCGUAGAAAACAUACUUUAAACAGAUUGUUGUCUUUUCAGAUGUCAGUUCAUUGGUUAACUUAAGUCACUGGCUUGCGACUGACACUGUCCCAUUUAACCCAUUCGAGUUAGACAUGCAUGCUGUGGAUCUAGUGGAGCAGAGAGUGCGACAGGAGGACGACCAAUUUAAUCAAUCUGGUGGCAAGAAGGUAUGCAUUGGAAGUAAAAUAAGUUGUUAACGACAAGUAUCGCAUGUAAGGUCGGAGCCAAGAUGUCUCGACCAGAGACUAUUCUUCUCCUGAGAAACAAAGAAUGGUUCUAAGCACAGUGGAGAACCUAGGCCAAAAGGGUGCCCCUUCCUGAAAGAACAACACACCGAUUCCUGAUCAAAAGAUAAUCAUCUCGGGAAAAGGACAGAGAGCAUCUCUCAGUACAGUGACAGACCUGAGCCAAAAGGACACCUUCCUUUGAGAAACAACGGACUCCCUCCAGUACAGCAAACUCCCUACUGAGCUAACACCUACAUCUCAAACGACGCAUACAAGUGAAUCACAGAUGCAGACCUCACCCUGCACCCCCAACUGUUCCUUUCCUCCCCUCUCACUCAACGCAGGACACCCAAAAGCUCUGAGGACCGUACACAAGAAAAGAACACGACACAUACACAAAAAACAUACACAUGUUUGGUAUCAUCCAAAAGGUCUCAGUGCAACUGGUACAAUGGUCUCACUCCCAUAACAACAGAAUGUAAUGACAACGUUUUGUAAGAACUUAACAAACUUCCCUCAGUGCUGGAACAUUUCUCACACAUUUGGUGACUUUCACCAAUCACCUACUGUAUGCAGAUUAAGUACAGCCCCAGGGAUCACAAGACCCAAUCACAGCCAAAUUCCUAACUCUAAAGAAUAUUUACAUAAUGCUUUGUUCUGGUUUGGUAUUUAAGGGAAGUUGACAAAAAUAUCAGGAAUCUGUAGCCAGAUCUCCCGCACAAAUUCCUGUGUGUCGUCUCUUGCCAGGUAUGCAACAUUGAACUUCUCUUUGCUUUAUUUCCUAUGAUUUUCUAUUAUUUGUUAUUGAAUUAUAUUGAUUGCCAUUGAUUAUUGAACUGGAUUUUGAAUUAUGCGUACCUGGCUAAUUAAUUGUUAUGUUUGAAUUCAUUCUGUAUUGUUCUGAGUUUAUAAACUUUAGUAGAUCACGCUAUAUCCUUUGUUACCGCAAAUCUACGUUCAGGUUAGUGACGGACUAGAAUCCUGUAUUAGGUGGAGCAUUGGGGCACGCCAGCUGAGAUUUUAGAGCUCCGGCUAACUGCUUGGCAAUAGUUUAAGUGUAAUUAGACCGUAGGGGCUAUCGUUUCCGUUUAGAACAGCACAUGGGUUGUCUGACCAAUCUAAAUAGGGCAAGUCACCAAAACCUCUGGUUAUUGUAAUAUUAUUCUAACUAAGUGUACAUAGGAAACUAUGGCAUGAUUAUAUAAAACUACCAUCAGAGGAAGUAAGAUUGGUCUAUUUAUCUCUAUGGAGUGGUCAUUACCUCUGGUUGGAAAAAUCAUUACUUUAAUUAAGUUGUCAAUAGUCUAAGGGGACUAGAUCAAAUAAUGUUUCAGGAAGUGCUGGUUGGAGACGGCCAUCUGAGCAUUACUAGUCAUAGAAACCUCUGGCAGUGACCAAGACUGGUGAGUUUGUGACCGUGAGAUCCACGUAUAACGGCCGGCGCGAGACUCUAAGCGACAUUGAGAAUCGGAUGAAGGAGUGUAAUUUAGAAUAAAACAGAGGAAUCAGACAUCCGUCCAAAUUUCACAAUUAUUAAUGAUAAAAGUUAAAUGUAAACUAAAUGAGAAGUCGAGAUAUUAAAUUGGAGUCAGAUAAAAUAGAGGUAAUUAAGUGAAAUGUGCUUUCAUGCAAAUACUGUUUCACUAAACAAAAGAAGACAAGAACAUGUGUGAAGCCUUCGCCACGCCUCUGGAUACCGUCAUUGGACCAGCGGGUGGUGCCUUACACGCAUCACUCAUAUGAUUCUUCGAUGGCCAGCUCUGUUUACAGAAAGUCAGGUACAGUAUGUUUGAUUGUUUUACUUUUUUUAAACUUUAGUAUAGAUUACACCAUAGACUUUAGUUUAGAAUACAUAACAGACAAUACAUGACAGACAAUAUUUAUGACCAAUUGGGUUGGUCAGUACUGUCACACUAAUCAUUGAGUGUUGACCAUGGCCUAAUAUGGUUUGCCAUGUUUUAUAUUUCAGGUUUAUAACGAGUUCAGCAGAGUUGUGGGGAAAAAUCUCAGAGAGAGCUUCUUUGAUGAUCUUGACCGUUUCUGUCCAAAUCUAAUGAACAUCUCCAGGAAGAAGAAAGGCCUUGCCGGUUAGCUUUUGGCUGAGCUUUUACGUCAAACAAAGGUGGGUUUAUUUGUCUACAUCAAUCUACCCCUUCUCUUUCCUGUUGUCACCCGUUUCUUCUCAUUUCUUCUUUGCAUUGUUUUCUUGUCUGUGCACAUUUUUCUACUUUGUUUGUAACUUUAUUUUUCUCUUCUCCAUGCUUAAAUUUCUUAAUUUAAUAUUUUUUCUCUGUAUCUCAACCAAACUGUUUUGUAAAAUAUCUGCCAUAUCUUCCAGACCACUGAGCCAACAGAUGUUAGGUCCCUUUGCCUUCAUGGACUGCCAGUCAUUUUAGGGGAUGACCCUUCUGCCUUCUUUAAGACCUGCUCUGUAAGCUAUUAAAUUUUUUAAGUGUCAUUAUUAUUAAUUCUUUUAUUGGACACAGAUUUGGUGUUGCUUCUUAAAAAUGAGGUUAACCACUGGAGACACAUGGAUUACUUUAAUAAUGUAUAUGUAGUUUGAGUUUAAAGAACAGUGCUACCAUAAUUGUAUUUAUACAUUACAAGUACUGGUUGCAAAACUGCCAUAAAUGUGGCCUGACAGCUAAGGAGAACAUUAUUUUUUUAUGCAAUGACUUGCUUUUUCUUUAUACAUUUUUGUGCAAAAUAUAUGAUAUGGUGAUUGAUUUUAUUGUUGUACAGUUUAUACAUUUUAGUUGACAACAUAGAAUGAUUUAACUGGCAUGACCUUGUGAAUAUGUUUCUGUCUUUUUAGGAUGUCAGUGAUGAGGACUCGUACCACCAAAUUCCAGUAGGAGUCCUCUGCGUUGAUGCAGAAAGUCCACAGCUAAACCCUUCCAGAGUGUGUAUCCUCUUGGAGGGGAAUUCAGCGAUGGAACCGGACAACUUGCCUCAGGCCUUAUAUCUUCUGUUUGGACUCAUUUAUGACCUGCACUUGGACUAUGCAUUCUUAUUCUCUUAAACUGGAGUGCAAACUUGUUUUAAGUUUUCAAUAAAAGUACAAGAAAAAUAUUUUUGUUGUUUGAUUGCUUUUGUAUAUAAUUUAAUGCAAUUAAAAAGAUAAGUCGAAUAAUUGGACAGAGAUAUUAGUAGAAAUUAAAACAUUAAGUCUAUUCAACUUAAAAUAGUUAUUAGAACAGCUGAUAUGUUUAAGUAAACUUCGCUCAAGUUGUUAAGUAAUCAUUACUUAAAUUUUUUUAGGGCAACAGGUUUCCUUCAUUUUUUUAAGUAAACUCAACUCAUCCGGGCUUACAGUGUGCAUAGUAUUGUCAAAACAUCAAUAGUAAGGUUUACUAAACUUUACCCAGACUAAAAUUUAACAUAACAUACAUGUACUUUUUUUCAUCAUAUGAUUUUUUCUUUCUU